UACGUAGGGUGCAAGCGUUGUUCGGAAUCACUGGGCGUAAAGCGCGUGUAGGCGGCUUCUUAAGUCUGGUGUGAAAGCCCGGGGCUUACCCCCGGAAGUGCACUGGAGACUGGGAGGCUAGAGUACCGGAGAGGAAGGUGGAAUUCCUGGUGUAGCGGUGAAAUGCGUAGAUAUCAGGAGGAACACCGGUGGCGAAGGCGGCCUUCUGGACGGCUACUGACGCUGAGACGCGAAAGCGUGGGGAGCAAACAGG
rnacentral:rRNA from 1 species